rnacentral:rRNA from 1 species
ACUGAACGCUGGCGGCAUGCCUAACACAUGCAAGUCGAACGGCAGCACGGCAGUAGCAAUACUGUGGGUGGCGAGUGGCGGACGGGUGAGGAAUACGUCGGAAUCUGCCCAGUCGUGGGGGAUAACUAGCCGAAAGGUUAGCUAAUACCGCAUACGACCGAGAGGUGAAAGCGGGGGACCGCAAGGCCUCGCGCGAUUGGAUGAGCCGACGUCGGAUUAGCUAGUUGGUGGGUAAAGGCCCACCAAGGCGACGAUCCGUAGCUGGUCUGAGAGGAUGAUCAGCCACACUGGAACUGAGACACGGUCCAGACUCCUACGGGAGGCAGCAGUGGGGAAUAUUGGACAAUGGGCGCAAGCCUGAUCCAGCAAUGCCGCGUGUGUGAAGAAGGCCUUCGGUUGUAAGACACUUUAUCUAGACGAAAGACG